CUACACAUUGUACACCUUUUUCCCUUUCCAAGUUUCCUUUUUGUCAGACCAACAUUUCACCUUGAAGAAUGUUGAAUUUGCAGAGAGGGCAGGUUGCAUUAAUUCGCAGCCAUCUGCGGAUGCAUCGGUAAUGAAAAUGGUGGUUGCAGGGGAGAGUGCACACCUCCACUCCAUCCUCAUAGCCAUGAAGGCAUAUGCAGCAUUCCUGCAAUGGCCAGGUCAUCAACCAACUUGAGUGUUUGGAAUAUAAGCUUCGGUGGGGAAUCCUAUGAAAUUCCUACCAAUAGAGCAGAGGAGACAUAUCAAACUUGAUUUUGUACCAGUUCUGUUAAUUGCAACCAUACAGCUUAUGCCAUGAGGAAGCAGAUAUGUUAAGAUUGCGAAAGCUUCAAACUGUUAGUGGCUCAUUGUAUUCAUGCUCGGUUUUAAGCAGCAGACCAACUCUUGAGGUGGAUAGAAAAAGGAGUGAGCUUAGCUUAAGGAGUUUCCUAUCUGAACCUUUGAAAAGUGCUCUUCCAGUGGAUAUCUCCCUUCAAAAACAACAAACUUGGAGCUGUACACGCUAGACAAUGGAUUACAUAGCAUUCUAGAUGCAAUAUCAGGAAUAAUCACUUCUUUGACUCAACUGAUGAGUUAUGAGGAAUCUGACUUUAAUAAUUUGCUUCUGAAAUAUAGACAGGGAAAAGGAUAGGUUUAAGCAAGGGAGAAAGCCAUUCUUCAGUGUACUGUUGUAUUAGAGGUCAAACAUUUCACAGUGAAAAAAAAACAAAGAAAAUUUGAAAAGCAAAAUAUACAAAAAAUCUACUCUCA